AGGCUGACCCACUAGCGCGCUACGCGGCGUCCGGUUACUGCUCGUCGCGUGCGUAUAUGCGCACUCUGCUGAAGGUGACAGGGCGUGGAAUAGAAAGGCCAAACACUCUCAGAGCGGAGUCGCGGAGAGGUUCAGCCGCUACCCACUCCUUCGACCUGCUUACCCUUCCGUCAAACAAAACACCGGUUCUGUCGGAAGGGACAUGCGACGCACUUCUUAUGUGGCGAAGAUCUCGUCAGUGCCCGUAGGGGAUGUCGCCUUGGCGUCCUUGAAAGCGUAUCAUCCGCGGUACGCGCUGCCUCGGCAAAUGACUCUGAGCUCCUCGUUCAACACUGUGACGGACAAGAACCGCUUCACCUCAUUGGACCUCUUGCUGCAGAAGCUUAGCGGCUACGUCGGGCGGCGCCAGUACAAGAUGGCGUCCGAUUUAACACAGCAUUUGGAGAAGUUCAAGGAGCUCGGAAUCGACUGGCACGAGCUCAAGUUUCUUCAGCGCGACGAGCUCGUCGAGCUGCUUAGUGGUCCCAUACGGCUGAACCACGCGGAGCGCGCGGUGCUGCUCAUCGCAUUGGAUGCAAAGGUGUGCGGUGUGCUCUGCCGAGAUACAACGCGACACUCCACGAAGCUGUGCAUGAACGCCGGCCUGGCAGAGCACGGGUGGCGCUGUGGGCAGGACGGGCACACAAACGACGUGUACUUUGAAGGCAAGGAGCAGGCGAACCCGGCGGUGCUGCGAUUGGCGCACCGCUCUGCUACUCGUGUGGCGCGCCGUGAUGGCAUCGACGUGGAGGUGCGUCAUGAGCCGGACUUCUCCAUAGUGGGUCGUAACUCGGCUCAGCUGAACCCGCGCAUCUGGAAUGCGCCAGAGCAUAGCACAUUUGUCGUGACACCGAUUGGGUUCGAGUUCCGCGUCCACCCCGACGACCCGCGCGCCCUGCACCAGAUCGAGGAGGCUGCCGCCGAGUGGGAGCUGCACCUCGAAGUUUUGCGGCAAGUCAUCGCGGAGGUACUGGAGCUGUACGCCGUGGAGCGGGAGGAGCAGCCGCUACAUCUGGUGCCAGGCGAAAUGGGUGAGCCGGAUGUGCCGGAGGUGUACAGUAGCGCGUUUCACGCGCGACGAUCGUCCUCAUCGCAAACCAAGGCAGACGGCACAAUCACAGAACACCGCAUGAUGAGCGCGAGUGGGGCGGAGAAGCCGUGGUUUCAGCCACCUCUGCCGCAGCGAUUCACGCGUGGGGUGCCGGAGCUGCUUCCUUUGGCGCCAACGAUCAUCUUGCACAGUGCCUUUCGGAGUAUCGAGCGCGACAUCAGCUCUACCGAUGUGAAUCGCCGACUCAUGCAGCCGGUCGUCGAUGUUUCGUGCCUCGUGCACCCGAACGCGUGCUUCUGGUGGAAUGCGGAGGAGGAGGAACGUUCGACAAGACUGAUUCUCGACUACGCCAAGCGCAUGCCAUUCGCACUGCCGUUCAACUUGUAUUUCCGCGUCGACUCUGCCAAGGUGCUUCGUGCGAAGCCGGCCGUGGCUGAGGAGAGGGACAGCUUACUACGUGCAAAGUUACCGCUCUUCGACUUGCGCCGGUUUCGCUCCGUGGCGCGGACAGCAGCCGCCGAUUCGGUUGAUCCGUGACGCGGCACCGAACGCGAGAGUGUGUGCUUCUCUGCACGUGUGCCCUCGUUAUGAGGCUGUGCACAUCGACUCAGGCCGAAUAACGGUGGCGCGAGCCGGUGGACACGGACAGAUUUG
rnacentral:misc_RNA from 1 species